AUAAAUUGAAAGAAAAUGGGUAAGCUGUGCAGGUUCUGGGGUGGGCGAGGCACCCCUCCACGAAAAUAACCUGCAUCCAUUAUAUUCACUCACACACCCACAGAUACAUUCAUUCUCAUCUUUCUCUCUCUAAAAUCCUAUCUUUGUUUUUUCUUUAAUUUAUAUUUUCUCCCUUUUCUACUCGCGAGAAAGGUCAACAAGAUAUUAGUAGUGGAAAAAGAAGAAGAAGAAGAAGAGGAGGAGAAACCAUAGAUGAGAAUCGAGACGAGAGUGAUUUUUCCAUCUCUCUAAAUCUCAAUUCCCUUUUCAAUUUCUCCAUCUCCCGAACCCUAAAUCGAUGCAGAUUCCGACUUAAUUCGAGUCGCAAUCGUCAACAUGUCUUUCCACCCGCGGCCAUACAGCAGCUACGGCGAGGCGGAGGAGGCGCGGCGCGGCGGCGGGGAGGGGAGCAGCUCCGGCGCGAUUGCGGUGCAGCGCGAGCACAUGUUCGACAAGGUGGUGACGCCGAGCGACGUGGGGAAGCUGAACCGGCUGGUGAUUCCGAAGCAGCACGCGGAGAAGUACUUCCCCCUCGACUCCUCCGCAAACGAGAAGGGCUUGCUCCUCAACUUCGAGGACCGCAACGGGAAGCCGUGGCGGUUCCGCUACUCCUACUGGAACAGCAGCCAGAGCUACGUCAUGACGAAGGGCUGGUCCAGGUUCGUCAAGGAGAAGAAGCUCGACGCCGGCGACAUCGUCUCCUUCCAGCGCGGCGUCGGCGAGCUCGCCAAGGACCGCCUCUUCAUCGACUGGCGCCGCCGCCCCGACGCCCCGGAUCUCCACGCCUCCUCAAACAUCCCCCACCACUUCUCCUUCCGAGCACUCCACCACCACCCCUGGAGCCCCCUAUUCAUCCCCCAGACGCAGCCCGCGCCGCCGCCGCCGCCGCGGGAGUACCUCCACACGACGACGCACCACCACUACCACCACCCGCCGACGGGGUACGGGCCCUACGCGUACGGAAGUGUGGUGAACGGAAGCCCGUGCCCCCCGGGGUCGAUAGUGUACCUGAGGGGAGGCGCGGCGUUUGGGGCGACGGCGGCGCAGGGGCAGAGGGAGCAGAUGGUGUUCGAGUCGGUGCCGGUGGUCCAGGGAAAAGCUGCAGCAAAGAGACUUAGGCUGUUCGGCGUGAACAUGGACUGUCCUAUCUCUGACUCGGAUGAAUGCGAUAUACUGUCCUCCUCCGCGGCCCACCUGGCGUCGUCGCCCUCCCUCCGCCCGCAGGAUCACGACAAAGGGAAGGGAUCCAUGUCUUUGGAUUUGGAUUUGGAUAUUUAGAUUGCAGAAUUAUCCCUUUUGUCUUAAUUACUACUGUAUCUCUUCUACACCCACAACUACUGCUGCCCUCGCAUCUUUUGGAGAUAAGUUUUACACGAGUCAAGAAGGAAUCUGAAGAGAGAGAGGGAGAGACUGAGAGAAAAUUAAGGUAUGUAUUUAUGUAAGUGAUGGGAAAAUAAAUAUGUGGAGAUAUAUAGUACUUAGAAGAAUUAGCAGUUUGAUUUGAUAGUGAAGGGAGAAGGGAAAUUCAAUACUUCAUCUUAAUGAAAACUUGUAGCUAUAUAAUUGGUGAGUUUGGUCCCUACAUGAGAUGAAAAUUGUAUAUCUAUAUAUAUCAUCAUCUCCACACAUGAUGUUAAAUGGUCAAUUACUUAGAAACCGAUGUUUCCUCUUCGACUUGACAAUAUCAUUUUUCCUCUACCUUGUCAUGUCAAUUGUGGCUGUUGCCCUAUUUUUAUUGUUUCAAGACUGUGCAUUUUCAUUUAGGACAUAAAUCUUUAUGUUAGUUGCGAAAUCAUGCAGCUAGCUGUGGAAAAUUCCACCAUUUUUGGCAUUAAUUAGUUGUAUUUGUAAUUGCUUCCAUUAUUACUGACUGCAUGGAGAGCCUUCCCAUGUAUUUGUGAUUAGAAUUUUUUAUUAUUAUUUCAAUUGUAUAUGAAGGCUCUCUAUUUUGGGAGUGUCAAAUAACAGAAUGCAGGCGUUAAAUUGAUAAUUCUCGAGCUAUGAGCAUGUAGUGAAAUCAGUGGACCUUUUUUCUACUUUUGGUAUUAGCUACUUGUAUAUCAAGUGAAAAGCUUUCUGCAUCUGUAUCGCUACCAUAAAGAGGUGCAUAAUACACACAUACAUUUUGUGUGUGUGUAUUGUGAAAAAUUGUGCAGGACCAUGCUCUAGUUGCUUGCCAUUGCUGAUAUAUGCUCGGUACCAAUAAUCUUCUUUUUGUUUAAUGCUGAUAUAAAUAGAUAUUGUAUAACAUAUACACUGUGGCCACUCCACCAUAUG